rnacentral:tRNA from 1 species
GCCUUCGUGGUGUAAUGGGGAGCACACUGAGCCGGUAUUUCAGAGGUCCGUGGUUCGAUCCCCGGCGAAGGCA